AUAUCCAGAAAGGAAGUCCAGAAAGAUCCCAGGGCACUCAAGGAAAGAGAAAUAUCCCAAUACUCUUUCUGUUUAGUCUUCCAACAUAACACCCAAACCCUUAACCAAAUCCUUGAUACUGACUUCAUCUCUUUCAUUAAACUCUUCUUAGUCCAAAGACAGACUAUCUACUUGUCCAGUAUAUCUCCCUUUAAAACUAACUGUGUAAUGAAUGGCUACAUUUGAGAAUUGGGGCACAAGUAUUAAGUGGCUCUAAGGAUCAUCAGGGGUCGCAGACUUGAAGCAUUCUCAUACAAACACAACAGAACCCACACAGUUGUCUGCUAAGUACUCAGAGUGGCUCAGAAUAGGCAUUACAGUGUGGCCACAGUUGACCUUGAUCUUAAGAAUCGGGAAGAUUCCUGGAGUUCCUAUCACAUAGUUACCUAUCACAUAUCACAUAGUUACACAGCUACAACAUGAAGAGGAUGCCAGAUGAUUAC
rnacentral:lncRNA from 1 species